CUGAGCACUUGCUGUCCUGAGGAAGGAACACACAUUUGACUAGACUGUAUCUUCUCUAAAGAUGUGCUGCGCAUCAAUUCAUCUCCUCAUUGGUGCCUUAUUUGUCUUUGCUGUUGAAAAUGAGGCAACAACAAUGAUAAGCAGCACAGAAAUCACCACUGCUCCAGUUUCAAUGUUUAUUGACAACACCACCCUAAUCAAUGAAACAUCAGAGGGCUUUCUAGACAACUUUACCACUCCAAACUCCACUGUCGCCCUGUCAAACACGACGGAUGGAAAUACCACGUCAGAAUCACCUACUCCUCCGCCCUCAGAACAUCCACAGACCAAGAAUUACACCACAGACAAACCUCUGAAAAAGGAUUCACAAUCAAGCACAAAAAAUAUGAUCAAAAGCACAGCAAGCAAAACAACCACAAUUCAAGCACAAAAACCUGGCAAAAACCAUGGACCAACUUACAUAAUUAUCCUGAUUAUAGUUGUUUUGUGCAUCUCUGGGGCAGUAGUUUAUUGUUGCCUUCAAAAGAACUCCAGGAAGUACUCUGUGGACUUACAUCCCAAACAAGAAGAUGCUCAGAUCCCACUCAGCACAGUGGAUGUAGAGGUGUUUGACACCACAUCAGUCAAAGAUAUACAAACAUUCACUCCUGUCGAGUCCACCGAGCCGCUUAAGGACCCUGUGCAUGUGAAGGAAGCUGAAAAGCCUGAGGGAGGGAAAGAAUCAGCUGAUGUUAAACAAGAAAACCAACCGAAUUUAUCCAGCACUCAGGCCAAAGUGAACACAAAGGAUAAAACGGAUGGGCUGACCGUAGUGGAUCUGACUGAUGGAGAACUGACGAUCUCCACCAAAACUUCAAUGGAAUCCCUAGAUGAUGCUCUCAAUGAAAACAACAGCAACAAUACAGGAGCUGAAGUCAACGGCAAUGGGCAGGAAUUCACUGAAAUCUCUAUUGAUACUUUACUUUUAAAAUAAAUCAGCCUUUUCCCAACAUUUUACAAUGAUCUCUGAACCAGACUGAUGGAUUUUUUAAACUGGAAGCAAAAGCUGAACUAAGUUGUAAACUAUGCGAGUCAUUGUUAGAACAAUGUUGUUUGCAUAUACAGUACAUACAGUACUAUGAAAAGUCUAACAGGGCCCAGUGUACUGUGUUGAUGAUAUAAUGUAACUUUCUUUAUAAUUUUUUUUCUUGUGUUUUACUCAUAUUUUGAAUUGCAUUGUGUUGUUUAAGGGUUAAAGGAAAUAUACUGUACAUACAUAAACUUAACGGAGAAACUUAAUGGAGUUAGUACCUUUACAGUUAACAUAAUAUUACCUAUUAUGUUUGAUUUUAAUAUUGUAACUAUUUUAAACCUAAUUUAUGAAAAUCUAAUCUAAUCUUAAAAGGAUAAUUUUGUAAAUUUUCAACCAGCUUUGUAUUGUUGUCGACUAUAUAUGUAAAUGAAGAAUGUGUACUCUUUUUCCAUGUUAUUGGACCCAGAUAUCCCCAUUUAUUUUCCAAGCAAAAGGAUGCUUGGAAUUUGAAUCGACAGAGCAUAUACAGUACAUCAAUAUAUAAAAUAUAUAAAAAUCAAAAGUGUAUUAUGAGUGUUGACGUUUACAGGGAUAUUUGUACAUUGUACAUUGAAUACAUUUUUAAUUAAAAUAGAUAUGUGUAAAGGAAGUUAUGUAAAGGAAAUCUCAUCAGAGUGCUAUAGAGCUCACAGUUCCUCUGUUGUAUGUAUAUGCAUGUUAUAAUGCCUAUAACUGUUAAC
rnacentral:lncRNA from 1 species